GCGCGAGCGCGAGCGAGAGCACGCUCACUUUUUUUUUUUGCGAGCGAGAGCUGAGCUACGCUCACUUUUCAGCACUGAGCGGGAAGCUCUGAGCGCGCUCUCAAAUCAGUAAGCUACUCCCAACUCUGGGUGGGGUUGAAAGAAUAUCAGGAAAAUGCUUCCUCGUUGCUGUCCCAGAUAGAUCUCCUGAUACUGGAUAUAAUCAAAGAAUGGAUAUUGCCUGGAUCUAUAAUAAUAUCGGAUUGCUGGAAAGCAUAUGAUAAGAUAGAGGAACAUAAUGAAUAUAUCCAUUUAAAAGUUAACCAUAGUUUACAUUUUAAAGAUCCCGAAACUGGAGCGCAUACUAAUCAAAUAGAGGGAUUGUGAAAUUUAGCAAAAAAAAAGUCUUCCGAACACAAAUACGAGUAAAAAAUUGUUUGCGGGUAAUUUAGCAUCUUUUAUGUUGCGCACGAAAUGGAAGGGCAAAGAUGGUUUUAAAUUACUCAUGCAAUAUGCGGCAAAACUAUAUUCUGAACAUUCUGUUAGAGAAGAAACUGACGCAAAGCAAAUGAAGGAUUUGGAAUAGGAGUUUCAUCUACUAUCCAUGUAGAAUCGAAAAGAUUUGGUGAAUCAAUUGUGAAGAAUAAUUUAGUACCUCAUUUUUUGCUGGGGUGGAAUAAAGUGGAUGAUGUGAUGGUUUUUCAGUUGAUACAUUAGUUAUUUCUGUACAGUUUACUAUUGUGUUUGCUAUCAGUUCCUUCAAUUAGUUUAGAUUAGUUUUAGAGUUAAUGAAUGUUUAAAU